AGCCCCCCUCAAUGCGGAAAUGUCCCCGCGGCUCAUACAGACAAGAACAACUACCAGUCAGGAGCCGAGGCGAAUGCAGGGCCUGACCAAUGAGACGCGCGGAGGUGGCAGAGGGCGGGACGUCUGCGGCCGGAGAGAGCCGCGCGGAGGUGGUCGCUGAGUGGGACCCUGGGAGCCGCCUGAGGAGGCCAUGCCUGCGGCGGCGGGGAAAGGGUAUUUCACCAGUAAAAUACCUAGUCUUCUGCAGAUACUUCAGCAACGGAGAGACCCUGAAGCACGAGCGGGUUUUUUUGUAGCCAUAAAAAUAUUGCGGCUUACCAGGGGUUGAAGAUAGAUAUCUAAGCGGCGGAUAGAGCCAGAACGCCCCAAGCCAACUACCUGAGCGAGCCCAGGCCCUUCUCAGGAGAUGCAAAUUUCUACUCACUACUCCUGUUCUAGGGAGGCUGAAGAGGCAGGAAGGACUAAGCAGUGGGAUGUUUGGAGCCCACUAACAGAAGAAGGGAUUUAGGGCAUCGAAAAAAGUGCCAGGUGAAGGCUCCGCCACUAGAACCACCACCCCCAGUACCUAAUACCGUAGAGAUUUCUGCUGUGAUAGGCAUUUACUUUUCUGAUCAAAGCGGAAAUGGAUGUUACCCCUCGAGAUGCUUACCUUUAAUAUUCUUGAAGUUCAGAAGGAAGGAGAUGUUAGAAGAACGCUGGCAGUGGUGUGGGAACGGCAAGAGGGCCAGCCCAGCUCCCGCUAAAUCACACCUGGUAUUGCCAACACCUCUAAGACUCAAUGGGUGCAUCUCAGACUUUCCUUCAUGACUCAGUCAGCCUGCUUCAGGACAAAUGAAUUGAGAGUGCUCUCUUAGGGACCUCCAAUAAACCACGUAAUUCUAGGAGUUUGAAGCUUUGGACAACACAAUAAAGACUCUCCCCUACUGCUGCCAAAGGAAUCUUCUGAAAGUCAACAUUGAUCAUGUUCCCACUGUUAAAAGAAAUUAUAGAAGGAGGGAAGGAAGAAGAAAGGCUGAGAGGGAGCAACAUGGACAAAGUUGGAAAUGUGAAUAUGUGUGUCCUGUUUGGGGAGUAUCCACUAGCUCCAUGAAUUGCAGAAUACAUGGUCGGGGCUGAAAAGGGAGAGCACAGCCCUCUGAACUUCUGAGAAUCCUCUGAACAAUUGAAGGGCACUUAGUCAUUGGCAGUGGACGUGUGUGCUAGCUGACUGAUCUCUGUGCCCGGACAGACAGAACCAAAAUAGGCUCUGCACCACAUGCACGAUCUGCAUAAAAUAUCAGAGAAAGAUAUCUCAAGGCAGCCCCUAAAUCCAGGUCCACCGCUACCAAGGAAACUAGCAACUUGCCACCCAGAACAACAGAAUGGCUUCCACCUCACUCACUUCUACCUCCCAACUCUUGUGUUCUUGAGGUGGAAAUUAAGAUAAUUGAUUUGAGGGGCACCUGGGUGGCUCAUUGGGUUAAGCCGCUGCCUUCGGCUUGGGUCAUGAUCUCAGGAUCCUGGAAUCGAGCCCUGCAUGGGGCUCUCUGCUCAGCAGGGAGCCUGCUUCC